rnacentral:rRNA from 1 species
UGGGGAAUAUUGCACAAUGGGCGCAAGCCUGAUGCAGCCAUGCCGCGUGUGUGAAGAAGGCCUUCGGGUUGUAAAGCACUUUCAGCGAGGAGGAAGGUGGUGAACUUAAUACGUUCAUCAAUUGACGUUACUCGCAGAAGAAGCACCGGCUAACUCCGUGCCAGCAGCCGCGGUAAUACGGAGGGUGCAAGCGUUAAUCGGAAUUACUGGGCGUAAAGCGCACGCAGGCGGUUUGUUAAGUCAGAUGUGAAAAUCCCCGGGCUCAACCUGGGAACUGCAUUUGAAACUGGCAAGCUAGAGUCUCGUAGAGGGGGGUAGAAUUCCAGGUGUAGCGGUGAAAUGCGUAGAGAUCUGGAGGAAUACCGGUGGCGAAGGCGGCCCCCUGGACGAAGACUGACGCUCAGGUGCGAAAGCGUGGGGCAGCAAACAGGAUUAGAUACCCUGGUAGUCCACGCUGUAAACGAUGUCGAUUUGGAGGUUGUGCCCUUGAGGCGUGGCUUCCGGAGCUAACGCGUUAAAUCGACCGCCUGGGGAGUACGGCC